GGGGAGGUGGCUCAGUGGUCGAGAGCGCUGACCGCUCUUCCAAAGGACCUGGGUUCGAUUCCCAGCACCCACA
rnacentral:tRNA from 1 species